ACUCAAGUUAAAAGUAAGUUUACUCUCUGUACUUGAAUAGAAUAAAAACUUGGAGGCUUACAAACUUUGUUCUUUUAAAAAUGUAAUGACUAUAGUCUUAUGUAUGAUAAUUUGAGGGGAGUUUGGGGCAUUACACCUGUCAAACUGUAAUGCAAGUGUCCUAAGGUGAGCUCAGGGAGGGCAGGAACCUCCAGUGGAGCAGAAGGGCAAAAGCUCGCUUGAUCUUGAUUUUCAGUACAAACACAAACCGUGAAAGCGGGGCCUCACGAUCCUUCUGAUCUUUUGGGUUAGACAUGUUCUCCUUAGUUUAGAG
rnacentral:ncRNA from 1 species